AUCGCUUCUUGGCCUUUUGGCUAAGAACAAGUGUAGUAUCUGUUCUUAUCAGUUUAAUAUCUGAUACGUCCUCUAUAUGAGGACUACAUAUUAAACGGAUUUUUGACCGUGGGAGUCGGAAGAGGGGCUUGCUCCAUCCGCUCCAUGAAUCAGCCCGGUAUUGCAGUACUUCUGGGAAUGGUGCACCUCUU